AUGGGAUGGGAAACUUAAAAUUGGAUUGAAACUUGAAAGUUUUAAAAAAUUCAUCAUUAUCUGGAUGAACGAACUGGGCCAUGGAUUUGGAUUAACAAGCCCAACCAAACAUGAACAAAACAACAUACCACCAAUGUCUUUCAUUGCUUACUCAAGUCACAAUCACAUGUUCAUUUGAGUUCUGUUUCUGUCACUGAUUUUCGCUUCUUCUCAAUUCCACCUCAAUCAUUCAAUGCUGCAAAAGCUCACCGUCCAUGGCCUCCCUCUUUCUUUCUUCAACCUUUCUUCCUUUCCCUCCUUCUCAUAAAAUCUUCUUAUCCCUUCACCACAACCACCACCGCCUCAGUUUUAACAACUUUCAACAAUACCCACUUCGGAAACACUUUACAUACCGCCUUUAUGCUUCUUCACUCAACAAAACAUCCAGGUCCCGUAGAAAGGUGAAGAGCAAUGAAGAAUUGCGAAAUGAUUUAAGGGAGUUCUUGUCUAGGGUUGGACUUCCCAACGAUCAUGUGCCCACCAUGAAGGAGCUUUCAGAGCAUGGAAGAAAUGACCUUGCGAAUAUUGUGAGACGGAGAGGCUAUAAAUUUGUUAGGGAGCUUCUUGCGAACUCAACAAAAAUAGAUUGUGAUGAUCUUAUUGCAGAGAAGGGCUUACCAGAUGAUGUGUAUGACAUUUUAGAUGAAAGUGAUGCUAAAGAAAGUGAGGAAGUCACUGAAGGAGGGAACAAAUCUGGGAUACCUGGUCCAGAUCUGCUAGAACGUGUUUAUAAUCACAGAGCAGAUGGUGCUGUGACAUUGAAUGGGAGUGCAUUGACAUCCAACAAACUUGCUUCUUCUGCGACUGUAAAUCACCCUCUCAGGGAUGAUGGUUUGGUGGCUGAAGGACUACUUAAUGUUGAUUUUGACAAGGAUUUGGAUAUUGAGACUAGCAGAAUUGAGAAUCAACUCGAGAUUAAUAAUCUAAAAUCUAUGCUGCAACAAAUGGAGUUGGAAUUGUCCCGAUUGAAGGACCAGAUUGAGAAGGAGCAACGUGCUUUAUGUGUUUUGCAAACCAAAGCUGAAACAGAAAUCUCUAAAGCUCAAAAACUUAUCUCUGAAAAAGAUGCUGAAUUGAAUGCUGUUGAAGAAAGCCUCUCAGGAUUAGAGGAGGUUGAGAUCCAAUACUCUGGAGAUGGUGAAAUUGUCGAGGUGGCUGGCAGCUUUAACGGUUGGCAUCAUCGAAUCAAAAUGGAUCCUAAGCCAUCUUCUAGCAUCAUAGAAACCAUUGGAUCAAGGAAAUCCAGAACUUGGUCAACCGUGCUGUGGCUUUAUCCUGGGAUGUAUGAGAUCAAGUUUAUUGUUGAUGGUGAAUGGAAGAAUGAUCCCAAGAGAGAGUCAGUUACCCGGGGUGGCAUAUUGAAUAACAUUCUCCGAGUUGACAGAUGACACGAUUUUGGAUGGGAGGAGUUUUUGAUAUGAUUCCUAUCUCCUAGUGUACAGAGAACAACAAUGGAUCAGUUUAAUGCCCUGUGCCGUUGAAUGGGAAAUCCUUCAGCUUGAUCUCCACAUGGUAAAAAUGGGGCUGGCACAUGCUGAUUAUGUAGAUUUUGGAUCGAUGCCUGCUAUUUUGUACAAAACAGAAAAGGGGAUUUAGCUUAUUGUACAAAAUAACAUGGGAAUGUCUGCUUCAAGAAUCAUGGGACUUUUGAUGAAGAGGGGAAUAGGCUUAACAUCAACGCACUUAAUCAGUUGCCGCUGCUGCCAAUGUACAGAAGUUAGAUUAGUUGCUAGGAAGCAUUUCUUCCAUGUUAAUACAUGUUAUCGAUUUUAUUGUUCCUUUCACUUCCACAAGAACAAGAGUUCUUAACUGUUCAUUGUUAGGAUUUGAUGAGUAGAAAAUCAUAAUGCAGAAUGUGCUGCAAAACUCUACAUGUUGUCUUUGAGCUGGACAGCAUCAG